rnacentral:rRNA from 1 species
ACUCCUACGGGAGGCAGCAGUGAGGAAUAUUGCACAAUGGGCGAAAGCCUGAUGCAGCAACGCCGCGUGGAGGAUGACGCAUUUCGGUGUGUAAACUCCUUUUAUGAGUCAAGAAAAUGACGGUAGCUCAUGAAUAAGCACCGGCUAACUCCGUGCCAGCAGCCGCGGUAAUACGGAGGGUGCAAGCGU